rnacentral:rRNA from 1 species
UGCGGAAGGAUCAUUGAAUCGAUCGAAUCCACUCUGGUAACCAAACGUCCCCCCCUUGGUGGCAGGGCUUGCCUUGUCCCAUGGGCGCCGGUCCCCUGGCUGGGGCCUUCGGGCCGCAGUUAGGUCCGGCGGGUGUCCCUCCGAUGCUGGGGCUUUUGCCCCUCUUCGGUUGGUGAUGCUGGAAAUUUAUAUCCAACUCAACCCACCCCAAACCUCAAAUCAAUCUGAAGCUGUCUUGUGUCACGCCUCGGCGUAGCACUCUAACCAAAGACAACUCUCAACAACGGAUAUCUUGGCUCCCGUAUCGAUGAAGAACGCAGCGAAAUGCGAUACGUAGUGUGAAUUGCAGAAUUCCGUGAACCAUCGAAUCUUUGAACGCAAAUUGCGCCCAAGGCUUCGGCCGAGGGCAUGUCUGCCUCAGCGUCGGCUUACCCCCUCACCCUCCCAAUCCCUGUGAUUGGGCAGAGUGGAUCUGGCCCUCCCGGCUCCGUUCCAACUUGUUGGCACGCCCGGGUCGGCUGAAGUGUAGAGGCUUGAGCAUGGACCCCGUUUGUAGGGCAAUGGCUUGGUAGGUAGCCUUUGGUUACAUCGCCUGCCGUUGUCCGAGGGGACUUUGCUGGCGGCCCAGCAGGAAUUUGGUGCGUGCGGUUCCCCGUCGCCCAAAUGCUUCACACCUUCGACCUGAGCUCAG